rnacentral:rRNA from 1 species
AGUAACGCGUUGGUGACCUGCCCCGAAGUGUGGGAUACCAGGCCGAAAGGCUUGCUAAUACCGCAUGUACAACCGAGGACUAGGAGAUUGGUUGUAAAGGGAUUUAUCCCGCUUUGGGAGGGGCCUGCGUCCCAUCAGCUAGUUGGUAAGGUAACGGCUUACCAAGGCGAUGACGGGUAGGGGACCUGAGAGGGUGACCCCCCACAAUGGAACUGAAACACGGUCCAUACACCUACGGGUGGCAGCAGUAGGGAAUAUUGGUAAUGGGCGAAAGCCUGAACCAGCAACGCCGCGUGUGCGAUGAAGGCCUUCGGGUUGUAAAGCACUUUUGACCGGGACGAGGAAGGACGGUACCGGUGGAAUAAGCCUCGGCUAACUACGUGCCAGCAGCCGCGGUAAAACGUAGGAGGCGAGCGUUAUCCGGAUUUACUGGGUGUAAAGCGCGUGCAGGCGGUAAGCUAAGUUGGGUGUGAAAGCUCCUGGCUCAACUGGGAGAGGUCGCUCAAGACUGGCUAACUCGAGGAUGGUAGGGGAAGGUGGAAUUCCGGGUGUAGUGGUGAAAUGCGUAGAUAUCCGGAGGAACACCAGUGGCGAAGGCGGCCUUCUGGACCAUCACUGACGCUCAGACGCGAAAGCUAGGGUAGCAAACGAAAGUAGAGACCCCGGUAGUCCUAGCCGUAAACGAUGUGAACUGGGCGCUGGUCGGGUAAAACUGAUCCGGGCCGUAGCAAACGCGAUAAGUUCACCACCUGGGGACUACGGCCGCAAGGUUAAAACUCAAAGGAAUUGACGGGGGCCCGCACAAGCGGUGGAGCAUGUGGUUUAAUUCGAAGCAACGCGAAGAACCUUACCAGGCCUUGACAUCCAAUGAACUUUCCAGAGAUGGAUUGGUGCCUUCGGGAACAUUGAGACAGGUGCUGCAUGGCUGUCGUCAGCUCGUGUCGGGAGAUGUUGGGUUAAGUCCCGUAACGAGCGCAACCCUUGUCCUUAGUUACCAGCACGUUAUGGUGGGCACUCUAAGGAGACUGCCGGUGACAAACCGGAGGAAGGUGGGGAUGACGUCAAGUCGUCAUGGCCCUUACGGCCUGGGCUACACACGUGCUACAAUGGUCGGUACAGAGGGUUGCCAAGCCGCGAGGUGGAGCUAAUCCCAGAAAACCGAUCGUAGUCCGGAUAACAGUCUGCAACUCGACUGCGUGAAGUCGGAAUCGCUAGUAAUCGCGAAUCAGAAUGUCGCGGUGAAUACGAAACCGGGCCUUGUACUCACCGCCCGUCA